rnacentral:rRNA from 1 species
AUGCUUAACACAUGCAAGUCGAACGGUAACAGAUAAGAUGAUCUCUUCGGAGUGAAUCUUUGCUGACGAGUGGCGGACGGGUGAGUAAUGCUUGGGAAUCUGCCCAAUAGUGGGGGAAAACUCGGGGAAACCCGGGCUAAUACCGCAUAAUCUCUACGGAGGAAAGAGGGCCUCUACAUGUAAGCUCUCGCUAAUGGAUGAGCCCAAGUCAGAUUAGCUUGUUGGUAAGGUAAUGGCCCACCAAGCCUAUGACGGGUAGCUGGUCUGAGAGGACGAUCAGCCAGAGGGGGACUGAGACACGGCCCCCACUCCUACGGGAGGCAGCAGCAGGGAAUCUUGCGCAAUGGGCGAAAGCCUGACGCAGCGACGCCGCGUGGGGGAAGAAGGCCUUCGGGUUGUAAACUCCUUUUCUGGGGGAAGAGAACGGACGGUACCUCAGGAAUAAGCCCCGGCUAACUACGUGCCAGCAGCCGCGGUAACACGUAGGGGGCGAGCGUUGUCCGGAUUUACUGGGCGUAAAGGGCAUGUAGGCGGUUAGGGAAGUCCUUGGUGAAAUCUCCCAGCUCAACUGGGAGAGGUAUGAGGAUACUCCCUGACUUGAGGGCAGUAGAGGAGAGCGGAAUUCCCGGUGGAGUGGUGAAAUGCGUAGAUAUCGGAAGGAACACCAGUGG